UACGUAGGGUGCGAGCGUUAAUCGGAAUUACUGGGCGUAAAGCGUGCGCAGGCGGUUUUGUAAGCCAGAUGUGAAAUCCCCGGGCUUAACCUGGGAAUGGCAUUUGGGACUGCAAGGCUCGAGUGCGGCAGAGGGGGGUGGAAUUCCGCGUGUAGCAGUGAAAUGCGUAGAGAUGCGGAGGAACACCGAUGGCGAAGGCAGCCCCCUGGGUCGACACUGACGCUCAGGCACGAAAGCGUGGGGAGCAAACAGG
rnacentral:rRNA from 1 species